CACGUCAUGGCGUGACCAAUAAGCCAAGUACAGCGCAGUGAGGUUGCUGCAGGCGAUGGCUGCAACAUGUGUUUGCCGAGGUCGGCUCUGUCUCCGGCCGAGGUCGGCUCUGGCCUCUGGCGGGGCCAAGGUCUGCCUGGCUCUUAGCUGGGCCGAGGUCUGCCUAGUUCUUGGCGGGGCCAAGGUCUGCCUGGCUCAUGGCGGGGCCGAGGUCAGUCUGGCUCUUUGCAAGGUGAUGGAAGCCCUCAAACGAUGGAUGGUGGAUGAUGUGUUGAUGGCGUGUUGGGUGGCUAAGAUUCACCAAAGUGUUGGAUGAAUGCCCACAGUAGGAUGGCUGGUUGGGGCUUGAUGGCGUGAUGGAUGGAUGGGAUUAAUGGACCACCUCGGGCAGCACCAAAAAUCAAAGGAUGGCGGUGGAAUUUGAAGAUAGGACUAGCUCAAGCUAGCACCUAUUUCCAUGGGUCGGUUUAGAGCUAAUACCCAAAAUUUUUUUGUUCAUUGAAAAGAUCUUUUCAAAUUACAUUAGAGGCUUAUUUAUAGGACCCCCUAAGGAUCUCAACCAUCUCUUCAAACGAAAGACAAUUCAAACUCAAAUUUCAAAUUCAAAACAGCAACUAUAAUGCCUAAAGAUCCUCCUCUCAAGGGAUGACUAAGUCAACCUCCAAGCCCAUGCACAUGUCUUUAAAUUCAAAUGGCUCAUCUGCAUGCCUUUUAAUUUAAAUUCAAAUGGCUGAUUGCUCCCCCUAAGAUUUAGAAAACCACAUGCCAUGCUCCAGGCCAUGUUCCUCCUCAUGUGCCAUGCCACCUUGCUAGUCCAUCAAGCCUUGCACGCCUGCUUUCAAUUUAGGCUCACACCCAAUUGCAAUUGGUCCAUGCAAGCCCCCUUCCAAAACUUGUACACAAACAAUCACCACUUGUUUUGCCUUUCUAGCUACGGCUUGCUUUGCUUUCCUUGUUGCAUUUCUCAUGGCCUUCCUCAUGUCUUCAUCAUUCCUCCCCCCUUCAAAACUGACCUUGUCCUCAAGGUCCAACUCGGAAAAUUGUUCUUUGAGAACUUGAAUGUUCUCCCAUGUAGCAUCUUCAGCUACAAGUCCUCUCCAUUGCACCAAGGCUUCGGUUCGAAUUUGGCCUCCCUUCGUCACUUGCCGGUAUUCCAAUACCUUCCUUGGCUGAACAUCAACCAUUCCUUUCUCAUCCACCAUUGGCCAAUCAUUGACAACCUUGCCUGAAUCUCCAACUCUUCUUCUAAGCCAUGAGACUUGAAAAACCGGAUGGAUGAGAACCUCGGUUGGCAAAUCUAACUUGUAAGCAAGCUGCCCACACUUCUCCAAGACUUGAUAAGGACCAAAAUAUUUGGCCCUUAAUUUGCUGAGUGCUGCCUUUGAUAGAGCCUUGUGCUUCCUUGGUAGGUAUUUGAGGUAGACCCACUCACCCGGCUCAAAGGACUCCAUGCUCCUCCCUUUGUCAAAGUGCUUCUUCAUUUGCUCUUGAGCUUUUGCCAAAUUCUUCUUGAGCUCUCUCAAGACUUCAUCUCUUUCCCUAAGAUCCAUGUCCACCAAAUGAUUAAGUGAACUUCCAGCUUCAUAGGAUAGUGUAGGGGCCGGCCUUCCAUAGAGAACCUCAAAUGGUGAUGCUUUGAUGGAUCGGUGGUAUGAAGUAUUAUACCAAAAUUCUGCCCAAGAUAAAUGCUCUUCCUACUGUUUUGGAUAUUGACGCACAUAGCAUCUAAGAUAUUGCUCAAGAGUCCGAUUAGUUACCUCACUUUGGCCAUCGGUUUGGAGGUGGUAAGUGGAGCUUCUUGCCAACUCUGUGCCAUGCAUCUUGAAGAACUCCCUCUAGAAAUUGUUCAUGAAAAUCCAAUCUCUAUCCAUCACGAUACUCCUUGGCAUGCCAUGCAGUUUCAUCACAUUAUUCGCAUAGAGGUUGGCUAUAGACUUGGCGAUGUAGGGAUGCAUCAUAGCCAAGUGAGCAUAUUUGGACAGUCGUUCUACCACCACAAGUACUCCAUUAAACCCUUUGGAAAAAGGAAGCCCUUCGAUGAAAUCCAUGGUGACAUCUUCUCAUGUGUUAGAAGAGAUUGGUAAGGGUUGCAUCAAACCCUUUGUUUUGCAGCUCUCGCUCUUCACCUUUUGACAAGUAUCACACUCCCCCACAUAUCUCCUUAUGUCACCUUUCAUGCCAUCCCAAAAGAACAAGUUAGCUACCCUUGCCUAAGUUCUGUACACCCCCGAAUGUCCUCCCUCCUUAGAAUCAUGAAAGUGGCUCAUGACCCUUUUUCUAAGCUACCCUACAUUCAGCAGUACCACCCUUCCUUUAUAUUUCAAGAGCCCAUUUUGUACUUCAUUAUUUUCCACUCCUCGUCCACCCACUUCUAACUUCUCCAUCACUUCAGAAUAUUUCAGCAACAUCUUUCUCAAAUCUUCCGGCAUUUCAGCCCUCAAAUCCACACCCUUAACUCCACUCUCAUCUUCCUCACCCUCACUCAAGGCUCUCGACUGAGAGGCAAUAGUGAUAGCAAAGCAUUGCCCCCCAAGCCUCAGAAUUUUUUCCAUCUCAUUCAGCCCAAUGGUCCUACCUCCAACUUUUCCAUUCAUUCUCAAAGUGACUCAUUUUCCUCCCCACAUAAACUCGAUACUCAUUUUUUUAUAAUCCGACACCACCUUUCCUAGCUCCUUUAACCAUUGCACACCCAACACUACAUCCAACCCUACAAUUGGCAAAGAGCAUAGGUCCGCCACAACCUCAAUCCCUGGCAUCUUCACAUACACUCCCUUAAACAUCUCUCUACACUCCAGCUUAUCACCACUAGCUACCUUGCCCUCAAAAGGUUCAAUUUCAGUCAAGGGUAACUUCAACAUUCAGCUACUUUAGAGUUUAUGAAGUUUAAAGAAGAGCUAUUAUCAAUGAGAAUGAUUACCUCAAACUUGCCAAUGUGUGCUUGAGUCCUCAUGGUUCUAGAACCCGCAACCCCGGCCAAGGCAUAGAUGGAAAUGUGUGGCUCCCCAUGCUCGGCUUCAUCAAUCUCCUCCUCCUUGCAAGCUCUACUGUGGCCCUCCUCUUGGGUUUCCUCCCCCUCAAGAACUGGCUCAAUGAGGUAGACAUGCUUCACCUUGCAUUUGUGACCCGGUGUGAACCUCUCAUCACAAUUAAAGCAAAGACGCUUCUCCCUUCUUUGUUGCAUUUCCUCCCAGGAUAACUUCUUUAUCCCCUUGAUAGGAGGCUUGCCUCUAGAUGUACUCCCAGUAGGACCUCCCGGGAUGAAGCCCUUGUUGAAUUCCUUAUUGACCCCAAAUGGUGCAGCCAUAGGGAUUGUCUUCUUUACCUCAAACCGGUUGUUCCUCCUUAAGUCCUGAAUUUGAUCAUCCUUCAUCGUUGCAAUCUCCAAAGCUUGCAUUAGUGACCUUGGCUUCCGAAGCUUCACUUCAGCAGCCAAUUCCCCCUUCAAUCUACCUACAAAAGACCCAAUAAGAGCCUUCUCGGACCAGCCAUGCACCCUAGUAGAUAGGUGCUCGAACUUCUUUUGAUAGUCCCUCAAGGAACCCGCUCACUUGAUCUUCAAAAGAGCUUCAUGGUAGUCAACAUAAUCAGGGGAUCCGAACCUCCUCAAGAGCUCUUUGACAAACCUCUUCCAUCUCAAUUCCUUUCUUUGGGCUUUGUAGGUCUUCCUCAUCCAUUGUCACCAUUGAUUAGCUUUACCUUCUGAGAAGUAGGCAGCAUAAGACACCUUUGCUUGACCUUUCAUGGGAUGGUGCUCAAAGUAUUGCUUAGCUCGGCUAACCCAUGUGCUAGGAUCGUCCCCAUUGAAUUUGAAAAAAUACAUCUUAGGCAUAGCUGCCCCUCCCCUCGGUCUUCUCUCAUAUCCUCCUCUCCCUUCGGUCCUCUUCAUCUUCUUCACUCCCUUCGGAUGACUCCUCCGCUUGACUUGAAGAUGCUUCACUAGAUGAACUUGAACUUUCUAACCUUUCAUGGCGCCUCUUGCCCCUAGAUCCCUCGGAUCCUCUAGAGCUUUGGUCCCCCUUGGCUCUUCUUCCUUCUUGUUUGUUCAUGGACACCACGAGCUGAUGGAGCACCUUUUCGACGCGGCCUAGUCUCUCAUUGGCAGCAGCGUUUUGAGCCUCUAAGGUUGCUUCCAAGGCUUCAAUCCGCUCCCUAUGAGUUGGUUGUCUUUCGGCCAUAAUCUUCUUCUUGUUGGCAUCAAUAGCUUCCUCUUCCUUGGGUUGGAUGCAUCUCAAUGAAAGCACCAAUGAUGGAAGCCCUCCAAAGAUGGAUGGUGGAUGCUGUGUUCAUGGUGUGCUGGGUGGCUAGGAUUCACCAAAGUGUUGGAUAAACACCCACGGUAGGAUGGCUGGUUGGGGCUUGAUGGCGUGAUGGAUGGAUGGGAUUAAUGGCCCACCUCGGGGCAGCACCAAAAAUCAAAGGAUGGUGGGAUUUGGAGAUAGGACUAGCUCAAGCUAGCACCUAUUUCCAUAGGUCGGUUUAGAGCUAAUGCCCAGAAUUUUUUAUUCAUUCAAAAGAUCUUUUCAAAUUACAUGAGAGGCUUAUUUAUAGAACCCCCUAAGGAUCUCAGCCAUCUCUUCAAACGAAAGACGAUUCAAACUCAAAUUUCAAAUUCAAAACAGCAACUCUAAUGCCUAAAGAUCCUCCUUUCAAAGGAUGACCAAGUCAACCUCCAAGCCCAUGCACGUGUUUUUAAAUUCAAAUGGCUCAUCUGAUUGCUCCCCCUAAGAUUUAGGAAAACACAUGCCAUGCUCCUCCUCAUGUGCCAUGCCACCUUGCUGGUCCAUCAAGCCUUGCACACCUUCUUUCAAUUUAGGCUCACACCCAAUUGCAAUUGGUCCAUGCAAGCCUCCUUCCAAACCUUGUACACAACCAAUCACCACUUGUUUUGCCUC
rnacentral:lncRNA from 1 species